UUGCACAACCUUCGCUCCUUGUGACACUCAGUUCACUUCCUGUUCCCUGAUGAUCAAGAUGUAUCUCCUUCUCAACUCUCAGCUCCUUCUCCAGCAUCUAGUCUGCCUAUAUGCCACCAUGUCUCACCAUGGUGAUGAUGGACUAAACCUCUGAAACUGGACACCAGAGGAACUGAAGUAACAAGCCGACUUCCAGAGCCCAGUGCUGGACAGCAGCCAUGCUGUGACGAUCACUUCUAGUUCAUGAUCCAGGGAAGCUUAUACAGUACCGGAACCCUCCUGUUACAAUUUUCUGAAUCAACUAACUGCACAUUCUCCCAUUUUAAAGCAAGAUAAUUAAUAAAGGGACCAUCGCCUUUUAAAACCAAAUAUCAAAAAGAAAACUACAUAAGUAUUCUUUAAAAAAACCCACAAAUAUUAAUGUAAUUUUUGCAAGUUUUGGAAACAAGUUCUUGGAAACAAUGAGAGAAGAAUUAGGAGAGAGAUAAGCCAGAUUGCCUUAUAUUGGAGAUGACGAGGUCCUUUCCUGAAGAAGACUAUGAAUGCCAAAAGAAUGGAGGGUCCAAAAGCUAAAGAUGAAUCCAGUCUUGCUUUGAAGAAGUUGAAGGGCAGUGGGAAGAUAAGCACUUGGCAUGCGUUUGCGCUGCUGUGUGAUGCCAGCAUUUAGGAGAGUGACAGGGAGGGUUUACA